CUGUGCUUUUCCCAAAUUAGGGAAAAGUGAGCCUGUGGCUUUGCUUAAUAUGAUAAGGUUUGGCUAACUGCCAUCCUGAUUGGCUAUUCUGUGUCCAAAGGGCAAUUAAUCUCAGCCCACAUUGAUAAAAGGAGAUACACAGGUGAAUAACCUGCUUUUGCUUCCCUGCUUUGCUGCCCUGCUCUUUGCUGUGCUCUCCCUGCUGUGCCCAGCCCUGCUGCUAUUGCACACUGCCUUAGUGCUGCCUGCUAAACUCCACUGCCAUCAGCUACCAGGAGCAGACCCUGGAUGCCUGCAUGCGAUCAGCCUGUGUGGCCAGCAUGACAUCAUGCUGAGACUGCACCACAUCUGCCUCUGCACCUGAAGGUUCUGCUUAGAAUUCCUGGACUUAUACAGAUUGUUCAGAAGAAGCCAGGAGACAAGGUCAGAGAUUGUCUGCAUCCUGUUCCCAGAAGCUGGGAAGAUUCAAGCCUCAAUGUCCAACAAGACAGAGUCCCCUGAAAGCAUCUGGGCACUGUCUGGACUGUGGCUUGCCCCUGCAAGCAGUCGUCAGUUGGACCCGAAGCAUUGAAGGACUUUGUGCUCCUGCAAGCGAGUUCUGCGAGGGCUUCCUCUUCUCUGCCAGAUCUCCAGACAAUAUCAACGGCCACCUGCAGUCCCCAUCAACUGUUUCAUCAUCAAGCUUCUCAGCAUUUCUCUUCAAGCUGGUAUCAACUUCUGUGAUAUUCAGUGUUUUCACAAAGAUACAAUGUAAGUACUUUCAAGGAUGAUGUAAAGAUUCAAGUAGAAGGUAUGAGGUGGAGACUAAUUUUAUUUUUAAAGAAGAAUAGCUUCUGGUUGGGAUGAUUUUUUUAUUUGACUAUUUGUUUUCUCAAAAUGGGAAACAAUUGUUGAUGUGUUCCUUAAAA